ACACACACAUACAUUUAACCAUCGGCUCUAACGGAGGUCUCAACUGAAUGUGACGACGCCAUCGCACUGGAGGUGCUGGUUCCACUGGGUGAAGUGUCUCACCGUGCGCCUGCCUGGACAGAACGCUCCUCCGGGUCUGCCUCGUCUUGUAUAAACGACUCUGUAAAUGAUGUGUGAAUUUCUGUAUAUAUAAAAUACUGUGAAUAUUUCCCGAGGCAGAAUCUCGUAAUUUAGCAUGUCGGCUGCUCCCUGGAGGGGCGAAAAGCAAGCAGCAGCUGCACGGAUUCCGCCUAGUGAACCCAAAUCUUCCAGUUGGCUGGCGAGUCCUAAGUCCCCAGCUGUUUUCCCUCCAUUGUGCUGCGGGGGCCUGCAUGCGGCGAUGCGCUUAAAUGCACGAGAUGGACACGCGUUAACAAAUCCAAUGGCCACCUUUUUUGGAAUGCUAGAUACUGCACCCCAAAACACCACCACUUCCCCCUCUCCACCCCUGGCCACCCCAAAUAUUUGAAAUAGCUACAGGUCCCAACCCAGAAAGCAAAGCGCCCCCUUGUUGUCACAAUUUCAUCGCAUCACAUAAAAAAACAAAUACAAAGACAAAUGUCAACAUUCAGCCAAGCAGAAGAAAAGAUCAGCAGCUAAAUUGGAAAAGGAAGCAGAACAACAAACCCCCCACCCGGCCCACCGCCACCCUUUUAAGCUCUUUACGAGUUUACAUCUCGAUCCAGAAGGCUGCGCCUUUCAUUAACGCUGCUUGUAAAGAUUUUUCUUUCCGAGCGACAGAGAGAAUGGAAUGUAUCUACUGUAACAUGCUGUACCCAUCUAGAAUGUAUGUACCUGUAACUGGGAUUGUAUUUCAAUAACCAAUCUGCAAACUCA